CUCUCUCUCUCUCUCUCUCACGCAAAAUUUUUUCUCCAUUCUCUCCCAACUCUCUCAAAUCGAACACCUAAGCUCACAAGUUUUCUCUAAAUUUUUCCAAAAUUCUUCACCCAAUCUCUCAUCCCAAUCAUGAACUCACAAGCCCAAAAACCAUAACUCAUUAAAAUUGAUGGCAAGGAAGUGCAAGGAGCCUCCAUUGCCGACCAAAGGAGAAGGGAGGACCAUCGCUGGCGAGAGAAGAAAAGAAAGAAAGGAAAAGAGGAGAAAAGAAAGAAAAGGAAGGGAAAAAGCAAGAAAAGAAAAGGAAAUCAAGGAAAAAAAAUAUUAAAGGUAAGUUUUCUAGUGAUUUUUCAUGGUUUUGGUGUAUUAGAAAUUUUUUGGGUAACAAACUAUGAACAAAAUUGAUGAAAUUUAGGCAUCAAAAUUUUUUAGGUAACAAACUUUUAAUGAAAUUUGAUGAAAUUGAGUAUCAAAAUUUCUUCAGGUAACAAACUUUUGAUAGAAAUUGAUGAAAUUUGAGUAUCAAAAUUUUUUGGGUAACACACUUUUGAUAAAACUGAUACUGUACUGCAUGAAUAAUGGCCAUUCCAUGUGAUUGCUUGAUAAAAUUUGUGAAUUUGAGUUUUUGUGAAUAUUUUUUUGGACCUUUAAUGUUGAGAAAACCAUUGGUUAACAAUAUCUAUAAUUUCUGUGAUUUGUGGACUUGAUUAUGACCUUUGCAGUGUUGAGAAAAUUUUGGCAAAGUAAAUUAUAUGAGUAGAUGCUGCCAAAAUUUUUGUAGCAUUAAAUUGCAAAUUAUGACACAAAUUUUCUUGUUCACCGCAAAAGCUAACACCCAAUGCAUAAAACUAAUUCUCUUGCUUCUUGAGAAAUUAUGGAAUAAAUUGUUGCAAUUCAGACUUGUGAUACCAGUGCAAAUUAUUUACUGCUUGCCUAUUAUAGACAAGCUGUAAAAAUAUUUUGUACAACUGUACCAAUUAAUUAUUCACUUCGCAAUACUACAACAUCCUUCAUUAUUCCUCAAGUAUGUUCCACUACAUCCUAUACCAAUUCACCGUCAAACUUGCACAACCACUUCAGAAACAUGCCACAUCAAAGAAAUAGUCUUUGCAUCCAAGGAGAACUUGAUUGCACUUCACCUUCGUUGCACACCUCUAUCCUCCAUGAUUAAAAACUACUUCCAAAAAUUCUAGCAAGGAAAUUUCAUAGGGAGCAUGCCAAAUGCUAGAAAACUAAACCUCAAAUCACAUGCAAUUCAACUUAGCUACUCAAAUAACUUCCAAUCAUUCAACCUCAACACCUAAGACUAGAUAUAUUUCACUAGAACCUCAUUUCCCACUGCCCCCUAGCCUCGCUCAUAGGAAACCAUUCUAGCAAAGCUAAUAUUUUUGAAUAAUGAAAACUUUAAGGCAAAGAGAGUAUCUUUUAAGCCUCAUUAUUGUUUGUACUUGUGCUUUAGCAAUUAUAGUUGAGUUGGCAUCACACCUGGACUCUCGAGAGAUCUCUUACUACCUUUUGUGUUGCCAUCAUAGAUAGGCCUUCAUCCACUGACCCUAGUGAGUAUCACUAUCCUUCUUGUGCAGAUAAAUCAACCUAUUUGCCUUCUUAUUUUGAAUUGACUUUCCAUGGAAUAUUCAGGUUCCUCCAACACAGCUAUAAGAGUGUUGAUAUCCCAUACUACUACAACUAUCACUUCAGGUUCCUCCAUUAGCCUCCAUUACUUAUAAUGUACUUGAUGUGUUCUUAUUCUAACUCUUUUUUUGCUUGUAGUGACUCCAUUUUCAACUUUUGCUCCAUUUGCUCUAGUUAACAGCUCCAGAGUUUCUCCAUUUGUUCAGAUACAAAACAUUUUUUUUUGUAGACUAAUGAGGAAUCUUGCCUAAAGUGACUUGUAGCUUCCUUCAGCUACUGGUAAGCCAAGGAAUGGUUCACUAGGAGAUAGCAACUUGCCUGGCAGAAGAGACUGAGCAGUCAGAGCAAUGAGAUUAUCUUCAUGCCCCUUUCCACUUUAGCUUUCUUUAAUGGAGUUAUGCCUCAUAUACUAUUUUUUUUUUGAGAUUUAUCUUAUGCAUUUAUAAUUUCCUUCUGUACUUAAAAUUAUUGAUGAUUUGGGCAAUCGUGUUUUCAGCUUUUGAGACAUGAUGAGACUUGAUGAUUGGGGUUGAGCCUUUGCUUAUGAUUGUGAACCGAUGAAUAGGGCUGAGACCUUUAUUGUGCCGUUGUCACCCACUUCACCAUGUAUAUGAACUACCUUCAGCAGGUACCCAACAAACUGCAAAGCCCUCAGCAUGCUUUAUUUGUCUUGUCUAUGCAUUAUAGGAAUAGUAGAAUGACCUCCUUGAAAGUUUGUCUACCUAUUGUACUAUUGCUUUGACUUUGAUGACAUCUCAGACAUGGCAACCAUAAAGCCAGCCCUAUGUAAGCCACAUUAAUGGCCCUACAUUAUUCUACUUGAGCCUUUUAAUUAUGCCACCUUUAAAAUACUAGGAUAGUACUUUUCAAGGGAAUGUCCAUUGAUGCACUUCUUGUGUGGCACUCCAUCUAGGCUAGCUAGUCGACAUGCAUCAUGUUUUAGAAC
rnacentral:misc_RNA from 1 species